CAAACGACUCUCGGCAACGGAUCUCUCGGCUCUCGCAUCGAUGAAGAACGUAGCGAAAUGCGAUACUUGGUGUGAAUUGCAGAAUCCCGCGAACCAUCGAGUCUUUGAACGCAAGUUGCGCCCGAAGCCGUCAGGCCGAGGGCACGUCUGCCUGGGCGUCACG
rnacentral:rRNA from 1 species